UACAGAGGUCUCGAGCGUUGUUCGGAUUCAUUGGGCGUAAAGGGUGCGUAGGUGGCGCUGUAAGUCAGGUGUGAAAUUUCGGAGCUUAACUCCGAAACUGCAUUUGAUACUGCGGUGCUUGAGGACUGGAGAGGAGACUGGAAUUUACGGUGUAGCAGUGAAAAUGCGUAGAGAUCGUAAGGAAGACCAGUGGCGAAGGCGGGUCUCUGGACAGUUCCUGACACUGAGGC
rnacentral:rRNA from 1 species